UACGAGGGGGGCAAGCGUUGUUCGGAAUUAUUGGGCGUAAAGGGCGCGUAGGCGGCGCCACAAGUCACUUGUGAAAACUCUGGGCUCAACUCAGAGCCUGCAAGCGAAACUGUGGUGCUGGAGUAUGGGAGAGGUGCGUGGAAUUCCUGGUGUAGCGGUGAAAUGCGCAGAUAUCAGGAGGAACACCAGCGGCGAAGGCGGCGCUCUGGGCCGGUACUGACACUGAGGAGCGAAAGCGUGGGUAGCAAACAGG
rnacentral:rRNA from 1 species